rnacentral:lncRNA from 1 species
GGGUACUUUUUAAAUAUUUUUUUAUUAAAAAAUAAAAAACUUCCAAAUCAUUCAUUAGAUAGGGUUAAUUAAAAAAUUUUCUUCUCAUCGAAUUAUCAAAUUGGUGAACCCAUAAUAUUUUAUUAUUUUUUGAUAAAAUAUUUUCAUUCCUUAAUUUCGAUAUUUCCAUCACAUUUUUUUUUUUUUUUGAGAAAAGCAUCAUAUCCCUCUGCUCGUUUGCUACAUCCAUACAUUGGUAGGAAACGAAUUCUCUGUGGUACUCAAAACAGAGGAUGCUGUUCUUUAGUGGAAAUCCAUUUUCCCCUGGAUUGUCACCUUCCUCCUCUUGCACGCUACCUCCUAGCGUCUUCUCGAUCCAGCCACCACUCCACACCAACCACCUCCUGUGCCGGCAUUCUUUCGACCCGACUCCCCUCUCUUUAUUGUGCCGGUCGAAACUAUCACCUCCAAGCUCCUUUUUGAUCCUCUCUCUAUGCCAGUUCUAAUCAGCAUACCGUCCUCUCUCCUUUUUCGCCGACCUAGCCAUCUCUCUAUAUGUGCCCCAUCUAUUCCACUGUCAUCUUUUCCUCACCCACCACCUCUGGACUCCAGCUCCAUCACCAUAAGAUCGAGAAUUGGGA